CGGGUGAGUAACGCGUGAGGAACCUGCCUCAAAGAGGGGGACAACAGUUGGAAACGACUGCUAAUACCGCAUAAGCCCACGGCUCGGCAUCGAGCAGAGGGAAAAGGAGCAAUCCGCUUUGAGAUGGCCUCGCGUCCGAUUAGCUAGUUGGUGAGGUAAUGGCCCACCAAGGCGACGAUCGGUAGCCGGACUGGGAGGUUGAACGGCCACAUUGGGACUGAGACACGGCCCAG
rnacentral:rRNA from 1 species